UACAGAGGGUGCAAACGUUGUUCGGAAUUACUGGGCGUAAAGCGCGUGUAGGCGGCCCUGUAAGUCGGGUGUGAAAUCCCACGGCUCAACCGUGGAAGUGCAUUCGAAACUACAGGGCUAGAGUUCUGAAGAGGAAGGUGGAAUGCUUGGUGUAGAGGUGAAAUUCGUAGAUAUCAAGCGGAACACCGGUGGCGAAGGCGGCCUUCUGGACCGUAACUGACGCUGAGACACGAAAGCGUGGGUAGCAAACAGG
rnacentral:rRNA from 1 species